rnacentral:rRNA from 1 species
ACUUUAUUGAAGCUUCGGUCGAUUUAAUUUAAUUCUAGUGGCGGACGGGUGAGUAACGCGUGGGUAACCUGCCUUAUACAGGGGGAUAACAGUCAGAAAUGGCUGCUAAUACCGCAUAAGCGCACAGAGCUGCAUGGCUCAGUGUGAAAAACUCCGGUGGUAUAAGAUGGACCCGCGUUGGAUUAGCUGGUUGGUGGGGUAACGGCCCACCAAGGCGACGAUCCAUAGCCGGCCUGAGAGGGUGAACGGCCACAUUGGGACUGAGACACGGCCCAGACUCCUACGGGAGGCAGCAGUGGGGAAUAUUGCACAAUGGGGGAAACCCUGAUGCAGCGACGCCGCGUGAAGGAAGAAGUGUCUCGGUAUGUAAACUUCUAUCAGCAGGGAAGAUAGUGACGGUACCUGACUAAGAAGCCCCGGCUAACUACGUGCCAGCAGCCGCGGUAAUACGUAGGGGGCAAGCGUUAUCCGGAUUUACUGGGUGUAAAGGGAGCGUAGACGGUGUGGCAAGUCUGAUGUGAAAGGCAUGGGCUCAACCUGUGGACUGCAUUGGAAACUGUCAUACUUGAGUGCCGGAGGGGUAAGCGGAAUUCCUAGUGUAGCGGUGAAAUGCGUAGAUAUUAGGAGGAACACCA